rnacentral:rRNA from 1 species
UACGGGGGGUGCAAGCGUUAAUCGGAAUUACUGGGCGUAAAGCGUGCGCAGGCGGUUGUGCAAGACAGAUGUGAAAUCCCCGGGCUUAGCCUGGGAACUGCAUUUGUGACUGCACAGCUGGAGUGCGGCAGAGGGGGAUGGAAUUCCGCGUGUAGCAGUGAAAUGCGUAGAUAUGCGGAGGAACACCGAUGGCGAAGGCAAUCCCCUGGGCCUGCACUGACGCUCAUGCACGAAAGCGUGGGGAGCAAACAGG